CACACACACACACACACACACACACACAUAUAUAUGUUGCUGAUUUAAUAGUCUGGUAAAAAAAUUUUUUUGGAGACAGUGGGGGAUGGGGGUGCAAAGUGGGGUGGUGUCUAGCUAUUUUGCCCCAACUGGGCUUGAUCCCUCCCACCACAGCCUCCCAAAUAGCUGGGACUACAGGGGUGCACCACAGCACUCUCAAUCGGCAUUUCUUCCUGAAAUGCUGGCUGGCAUCCUUUUUCUAUUCGAUAUCUGCCUGGAAAAAAUCCUACUUAGUCCUCAAGGACGUAUUUUUUCUUCUUCUUCUUCUU
rnacentral:lncRNA from 10 species